rnacentral:rRNA from 1 species
UACGUAGGUGGCGAGCGUUGUCCGGAUUUACUGGGCGUAAAGGGAGCGUAGGCGGACUUUUAAGUGAGAUGUGAAAUACUCGGGCUCAACUUGAGUGCUGCAUUUCAAACUGGAAGUCUAGAGUGCAGGAGAGGAGAAUGGAAUUCCUAGUGUAGCGGUGAAAUGCGUAGAGAUUAGGAAGAACACCAGUGGCGAAGGCGAUUCUCUGGACUGUAACUGACGCUGAGGCUCGAAAGCGUGGGUAGCAAACAGG